CAGAUGGGAUUAGCUAGUAGGUGGGGUAACGGCUCACCUAGGCGACGAUCCCUAGCUGGUCUGAGAGGAUGACCAGCCACACUGGAACUGAGACACGGUCCAGACUCCUACGGGAGGCAGCAGUGGGGAAUAUUGCACAAUGGGCGCAAGCCUGAUGCAGCCAUGCCGCGUGUAUGAAGAAGGCCUUCGGGUUGUAAAGUACUUUCAGCGGGGAGGAA
rnacentral:rRNA from 1 species